rnacentral:rRNA from 1 species
UAUUGAUUGGUGCUUGCAUCAUGAUUUACAUUUGAGUGAGUGGCGAACUGGUGAGUAACACGUGGGAAACCUGCCCAGAAGCGGGGGAUAACACCUGGAAACAGAUGCUAAUACCGCAUAACAACUUGGACCGCAUGGUCCGAGUUUGAAAGAUGGCUUCGGCUAUCACUUUUGGAUGGUCCCGCGGCGUAUUAGCUAGAUGGUGGGGUAACGGCUCACCAUGGCAAUGAUACGUAGCCGACCUGAGAGGGUAAUCGGCCACAUUGGGACUGAGACACGGCCCAAACUCCUACGGGAGGCAGCAGUAGGGAAUCUUCCACAAUGGACGAAAGUCUGAUGGAGCAACGCCGCGUGAGUGAAGAAGGGUUUCGGCUCGUAAAACUCUGUUGUUAAAGAAGAACAUAUCUGAGAGUAACUGUUCAGGUAUUGACGGUAUUUAACCAGAAAGCCACGGCUAACUACGUGCCAGCAGCCGCGGUAAUACGUAGGUGGCAAGCGUUGUCCGGAUUUAUUGGGCGUAAAGCGAGCGCAGGCGGUUUUUUAAGUCUGAUGUGAAAGCCUUCGGCUCAACCGAAGAAGUGCAUCGGAAACUGGGAAACUUGAGUGCAGAAGAGGACAGUGGAACUCCAUGUGUAGCGGUGAAAUGCGUAGAUAUAUGGAAGAACACCAGUGGCGAAGGCGGCUGUCUGGUCUGUAACUGACGCUGAGGCUCGAAAGUAUGGGUAGCAAACAGGAUUAGAUACCCUGGUAGUCCAUACCGUAAACGAUGAAUGCUAAGUGUUGGAGGGUUUCCGCCCUUCAGUGCUGCAGCUAACGCAUUAAGCAUUCCGCCUGGGGAGUACGGCCGCAAGGCUGAAACUCAAAGGAAUUGACGGGGGCCCGCACAAGCGGUGGAGCAUGUGGUUUAAUUCGAAGCUACGCGAAGAACCUUACCAGGUCUUGACAUACUAUGCAAAUCUAAGAGAUUAGACGUUCCCUUCGGGGACAUGGAUACAGGUGGUGCAUGGUUGUCGUCAGCUCGUGUCGUGAGAUGUUGGGUUAAGUCCCGCAACGAGCGCAACCCUUAUUAUCAGUUGCCAGCAUUAAGUUGGGCACUCUGGUGAGACUGCCGGUGACAAACCGGAGGAAGGUGGGGAUGACGUCAAAUCAUCAUGCCCCUUAUGACCUGGGCUACACACGUGCUACAAUGGAUGGUACAACGAGUUGCGAACUCGCGAGAGUAAGCUAAUCUCUUAAAGCCAUUCUCAGUUCGGAUUGUAGGCUGCAACUCGCCUACAUGAAGUCGGAAUCGCUAGUAAUCGCGGAUCAGCAUGCCGCGGUGAAUACGUUCCCGGGCCUUGUACACACCGCCCGUCACACC